rnacentral:lncRNA from 1 species
AAUUAAACGUUUCUUAGUUAAAUGAAAGGGAUUUUUUCUCUCUUUCUUUCUCUCUCUCUCAAAUCGCGAAAACAGAGAAACGAGAGCCGAUUUUGGGAAACUUCAAUCGGAACAUUGGAGACUCCAGCAAUGUUUAUGACCUCCGGCCGUCCUACCGGAGCUAUCUCAGCAUCUCCACCGACGCGGGGUGUCCACGGCGACGAGGAGAAGCUCUAAUCGGCGAGUUUGGCAAAUCGAAAUCGAAGAGACUGUUCACAAAAUCUCCGAUUUGUUUGAGUGUGGGGAUUAUUGUUUCUAUUAAAUCCGAUUGUUGUCUCCGAUUGUUUUGUUGCAUCAGUGUUGAUUAUUGUUUCGAGUAAAACUUUGUGGGAUCUUAAUUUUAUUCUAUAAUUUGAUUAGUUUUUGUUGUUAUACCUCAUAUUAUUAGGUUUCGUUGAGAUUUAUUUGUUGAAAAUUGAUGUGUUAUUAAAGGUGAAAGAAAGCCUAGAGGGAUACAGAAAAAAUCUGCAGAGCACUAUUUAAGAAGUUGGUUUUGUGGGUUUCUUGUUAUUUUCGUGAGAUUUGAAAAAUCUUGGGUCGUGAAUUUUUUUUUCUUUGUGUAGAUGGUGAAGUUUUUACAAAACAUGUCUUGCUUAGCUUCAAAAGUUGUAUAUUUGCGUUAUUUGCAUCAAAUGUAAACUGUCAUUUUGUGUUAAGAUAUGCAUGUUCCCUAGCGUAACACUUUUUUUUUUUCCAAAUUUUUAUUAUAUCCAAUUUGAAUAUGCGUGAUUGCAUUGCUGCAAGCUAGCAGUAAUACUAAAACCGUACGUUGAUAUCAACCUUUUUAAACCAUUGGCUUAUGAGUUCCAAUUUGCAAUUUUCGGUAUAUUUCGUAUAACAUUUGGAAUAAUAUAUACAUAGGAGUUUAGGGUUUAGGUAAAAUUGUUGGAAUUGAUCACUAAAUCAAACUAUUACACGUGACACCAAAAGAAACUUGUCUGCUAUAUUAUUUUGUGAAUUUACUUCUAACUUCUUCGUAUAUCUUUUUAAAAUUCUAAUUACAAUGCCAUUGGUGGAUAUAAGAAGCUAUUGGAAUCUGAGUAUGUGUGCAUGAGUGCAUCAACUUAUCUUAUUAGUGGAAAAUGACUCAUAGAGCGAAUUAAGGCUGCGAAGCCGAUGACGAGACCUACUUAGAUAGACACAUUACUGAACUUUAUAUGUUAGGUAAUGAUUUUAAUACCUUUCAAAAAGUAAAUCAAAUUGUGGUUCUAAUCACAUUAGAGAUGAGACCUAAUCGAGGCAAUGAUAUUUUUUAGCUAUUAAAACAUAUAAAAGAGAUUUUCAAUUUAAAUUACCAAAAGAAAAAUUUACAGUUGGUAAACUUUCGCUUAAUGUGCUUAAAUAUUAAAAUCAACUUAAUGUAAAACUUUUUUUUAGUAAUUAAGCACAUUAAAAUCAACUUAAUUUAUUUUCUUUUUUUGGUAAUUUAAGCACAUUGUAAUUUACAGUUGGUAAACUUUCAAAUAAACAUAUACAUAUUUUUAAUUAAGUAAAAUGUAAUAAUCAUUGAAAUCAACUUAAUGUAACAUAAUGACAAACUAAUCCAACUGGUUAAUUAAUUCGGUCUGGACCUCUCUCUCUUUUAUUUCCGAUUAUAAACCAAUCCAACUGGUAAAUUACAUUGAGUAAUUAUCUUUAAUUCUUUGGAGUCCCCAUUGAGUGAAUUAAACUAUCACACUAGCUCCGAAUAAGUUGGAAAUACAUAAGAACAUAAGUCUUACAAUAUAGAGCUGACCAAUGACAGUACUAUCACGAUUAUGAUAGCCAAUAUAUAUAUAUAUAUCUACCUCUAUAUAUAUAAAUAAUAUGUCAAACGGGCAAAUUAGUAUCCUUAUGAUUUGUUAUUAUAUGGUCUUCGUUUUCAUUAUUCUGACAAAACUGGGAACUGUUCAGAGUCGUCGAAACAGACUGAUCUGUCUCAAUCUUCCUUCCCCAGAGAAACACGUAAAGGCCUGUUAUAGUCACUAGCGAUCCAAGUAUGCUGCAUUUUUAAAAAUAUAAACGUAUCAGUGCAUGCUUGGAUCGACUUUAUAGUCUAUACUAUACACUAUAUGAGAUGAUUUGAGAAUGAAACCUGCCGAGGUAUAAAGGAGAGUGUAAGAUGAGGAAGUCGAAUAAGGUAGCCGCGACGAGACUGACGGGGCUGAAUGUUGAGACGAAAACUGCUCCUGUCAUUUUUAUGGACCAUGACGUUACCACUGUCGACAUCGCUUGUCCCACUAUUCCCUAUUUUAUUUUUCAUCAAUUUAAUCAAACCUUUUUAUAAUUAAUAGUGUUAUAAAUAAUCAUAUAAACUGUUGAAAAUAUCUUAUAAAUUACUAUAACAGCGUUUGAAAAAUGAAUAUGAAAAGGAUGUAUCAAAAAAGGAUUACAUGUGAAAUUAAGCACAUUCCAUCUAUUUUUAUAGCAAGUAUAUAUGUAAUAAAAUAAAUUAAGCACAUGGAGUGAAAAAAAUGACGAAAAGAUAUACCGAUUUAUCUCAAUAACCUAAUCUGUUAACUAGAAAAAAAUAGAAUUAUACUUUGAAAUGAUAUAUAUGACUGGUUUGAAAACAAAAAUCAACGAAAAAACUAAAAAGGAGAUUUAUAAGAAAGAAGAGAUUAUAAAUUACGAGGAGCUUUUAGAAAAGGGUCACAAUAGAUAAGAUGACUAGGCUUAAAGAUGACAUUUAGAUAUCAAAGAAGCAAACUUCUAACUCUUCUUUUUUAGUGCCCAUGCAUUUUAUGAGUAUAUAUUAUAUCUAAUGAAAAGAAGACGGGAAAAACUUACAGCGUAAAGGGUGAUGAAAAUGACGAAUUUAUCUUCUAUAAUCCAAUCUUUGACGUCUCUACUCUUGUAAAGACUCAAAAUAGCACAUUGAAAUGAAGCAAAGACUGACAUGAGACAAGUGCUUGAGUAUUUAUUUCCAGGAUACUUAAAGCUUAAUUUCCCUUGAAACAACAUCCAUAGAGACAACAACACUGUCCCAAUGAUCAAAUAAAGACAGCCUAGAAGCCAUUUCUUUGUUUGGUCGUGACCGUUGUUAUGUAACGUGUUGUUGUUGUGAAGAGCUCGUGGAUGAGAAUGCGGGUUUGAUAACUCUGGGCCUUUGUAAAAUGUCAAUAACAUAGCUCCCAUUAUGCAAAUUAGGGUUCCCAUUACUUUGAGAACACCUGCUUUGCUCUUCAGGUUUUGCGCAUUCUCUAUCCUGUUAAAUUUUUUUUAUGAAAGUUAUUUUUUGUUUGUUUUAAUUACUAAUUAAAUUAGUUGCACUACCUGAAAAUAAGGGCUAACGCAAAGGUGAUAGCAGGUAACAUGCUAACUAGAGCCAUCGAAACAGUUGCUGACGUGUACGAUAGUCCAAGUAAAAAGAAAAAUUGCAUCAAACUUGCCCUGCGUGCGGUAUUAAUAAAAACCAUACAUAAAUAAACGAAAAAAAAAAGUAAAGCUUGUAAUUAAUAAGAGAUAACGUGUUGGACAGCUCUAUUAUUUGUUUUUUCUUCUUUUUAAAAGUAAAUUAAAUCAUUAAAAAAAGAGAGGAAAUUGCGUAAUGGAGUAUAUAACCAGAACAAGUGAAAAGGACAAACCCAAGUAAUCCGCUGAUGAAAUGUUCGCACAAAAGCAUGAGCGUUAGCUGUGGCCUUGUUUUCCUAUAACAAACUCAUUUAAAGAGCAAAUUAACUUCAUUACUUUCUUUUUUUUGGUAUCAUAAACUUCAUUACUUACAACAAGAUAAUAAAAACUUAUAACUUUUAUAUACAUACAUACAUACAUGAGAGGAUAUCCAAUAAUAUUAAAACUUAGUUUCAUCAUGUCUCAAUAACAAAAAAAUAGAAAAGUUGAUAUAUAUCAACAUUACAUAACGUUUGGAUUUUAACAGAUCAAAUGGCACAUGAAAAGAAUAGAUGUUGAUGUUGUAUUACUGUAAUUCGAAAAGUUUAAACAAUCAUGGACAGUUUAAAUAUUGACGCAUAAAAAUCAAAUCAUAUAUGGAGAAAAAAUCAAGAGUAGUCUGAACUUUAACAUAUAAUGAUCAAAUCAUAUAUGAAUGAAAACAGCUAUUUUAUUAUUGUAAUGGUAACAAUUUAUACGUAGUUGAAAUUUUGAAUCAUACAUAUUUCUUAUAAAAAUACGAGAACAUAGCCAGAGAACGUUUUUUUUGGACAUAAGCCAUACUAGAAAAAAAGUAUGUAAUUAAAGAUGGUUUCAAAAUCUGAGUUUUGACGCAUAAGAAUCAAAAUGUUCAUACCUCUCCCAAAUAAAAGAAAACGGAACCAAGAUUAGAGCAGAAAUAGCCAUUCUAUAAGCACCAAAGAUCAUAUGGUUAACACCAACAUCAAGUGCUUUCUUAACGAGAGCGUUCACUGAUCCCAUUGCAACACUUGAUAUUAACAUUACUAUUACUGGUGCCCAUUGUUCUUCCUUCACCAUCCCUCUCAAUCUCUCUCCCUCUCUCUCUCUCUGAAUAUUUUAUUUUAUUAAUUAAGAUUUUUUUAUAGUUUUUGUUUUCUGUAAUGUCGAAUGUUUUUCUUUGCGUUUGGCAACCACACGCCUUCCCAUCUACUUAUAUUUAUAAUAAAGUUUGUGGGUGGUUGCCACAUAGGAUAUAUUUUUUUGUUAGCCUCAGUGUAUUAGUGUUCUAGAAUACGCUAUACGCUAUGCGUAUGCUAGAACACCGUAUGCGGAGACUAUACGGUGAAUAUAUUUUUAAGAUAAAUAUAUAUAUAUAUAUAUAUAUAUAUAUAUUAUAAUUUAUCAAAAUAUUCAAAUAUAGUUACAUAAUUAUAAUAAUAAUAAAACAUAAAUAUAGUAACAUGAUGAAUACUAUACAUGAAUAAAAAAAAUAAAAAAAAUUUAACUUUACAAAAUAUUUUUAAAAUUUUAAAUAACUAGUAAGCAUAAAAAUAAUAGAAAAGAAUUACAAUAAAGUUAUUUUAUAGUUAAUUAUUAUGAUUAAUUUUUUGAGAGCCAAAUUAAUAAUUUUGUUAAAUCAUUUUUCAAACAUUAAUAAAAUGCCAUAGUUUUUAUUUUUGAGCAUUUUUUUUUAAAAAGCGCCGUAUAUGCGGAAUUCACCGUAUAUACGCCGUAUAUACGGACUUAUAGCUUUCACCAUAUUAAACAACUGUAUAGUCAUAAUACAGUACACCUUCCCAAUGUACAGCGUAUAUACGCCGUAUAUACGGCCGUAAAGACCUUAUUUUAGAACAUCAACUUAUGUAGCUUGUUUCUAGUGAUUGUUAAAAUGAUAUUUUAGUUUACUGGUGGUAGAUCAUUUUUUUUUGUCAACCUUACAUUAAUUAAUAAAAAUCUCCUUGAUUAGUUGCCCAAUUAGGAGGAUAAGUGUCUACAAAAGAAACUUCAGAAAAUAAAAGUGUAGAAGAACGGGCUAAGCAGUCCGCUUUAACAUUACAUAAACGUAGAAUAAGAGAGAGCGAGAAGAAGGGGAAAGAGACACGGAAAAAACCAAAUUUGUCUAGCAGAUUGGAGAAAGCGGGCCAUUCAUCAGGGGACUGUAUCAUCGAGACUAACUCUGAACAAUCUGUUUCAAACGCCUGGCAAUCUAUUCUUCUUGAAAAGAUAUUCUUCAUAGCCCAAAUUAACGCUUGCAUCUCCGAAUGAAGGGGGAAGGACACCUCCGUAGGCACUUUGCACCGAACAGAAUCGAUUGAUCAUUUCCUUGCAAACAACACUAUCCUAAACUCAUAGUUGGAUCCGAAAUUUUCCAAGAGUCAUCAAACCGACAUCUUAUCGAUUGAACUGGGCAUUCCAAAGUUUCCGUAAUAGGAUUAGUUUCGAUCGGAUCCACCUGAGCUUCGUCCCACAUUAAUUUUUCACUCAAAGCAAGAUUUAAAAUAUAUGUGGGUUCAGAUUGUAAUCCUUUAAAUAUCUUUUUAUUCCUAUCUUUCCAUAUGAACCACAUAAUCCAAGCAUAACUAUAUGUUUUCUCUCCCCUUUUUAGAUUAGAUGGAAGUCUCCAAUAAAGAUAAUCUAGAUUUGAGAAUUCCGAAGUUAGAGGAAAUCUACCUGAUACCAUAGGUAUAUCGGAUAAGUCCCAUACUUUCUGAGAAUGAGAGCACUCAAAUAAAGCAUGAUUUAUUGUUUCCUCUGCCGUCUCACACCGUUUACAGAGAAUAUCACAUCGAAUCCCUCGAUGUACUAAUUUUGAAUUAACUGCUAAGGAUCCCGAAGCAAUUUGCCAUAAGAAAUAUUGUAUUUUUGGAGGGGCUUUGACUUUCCAAGCCUGUGCUUGUAGAGCCUUAUAAUUUGGGCCCCAUUCGAUCGUUUCUAUCACCUCUUUAGCAACCCGAUAGCCUGAUUUUACUGUAUAUCUUCCUGAUUUUGUAUGAUGCAAGAUAAGCCUAUCUUGCUUAGAAACUCGGCUAAUAGUCAGUCUCCUAAUAAGCUGAAUAUCCACUGGAUUCAUAUAUUCUUGUAAAAUGGGAAAGUGCCAUUUUUUAGUAACUGGAUUAAUUUAAUGGUUAACCAUCAAACUUGGAAGUAAAAAAAUUCCUCUUUCAUUUGCAGGCCUUGGGUUAACAUCAGGAAUCCAAGGAUCUCGCCAUACCGAUAUAUUGAAACCCGAGCCUAAUGAUCAUCUAGCUCCCACUUCAACUAAUCCUUUAGUUGAAAAAAUACUCUUCCAUCCAAAUGAUGGAGAAUUUGAUUUUUUUGCCUGUAAAUGAUGAAUAUUCCUGAAGUAUCUACCUUUUAGCACUCGAGCUAGUAAAGAAUUCGAAUAUUGAAUUAAGCGCCAGUACUGUUUAGCCAACAUGGCAUCAUUAAAAAUGUCUAGGGAAUGAAAACCUAAGCCUCCAUCUUCUUUAUCCUUACACAUUUUCUCCCAUGCUAUCCAAUGAAUCCCACGAUCUCGCCCAUUGGAACUCCACCAGUAAUUAGAAAUAGCAUUUGUUAACUUAGAAGUUAACUCUUGAGGGAGUUUAAAACAAGACAUAACAUAGGUUAGGAGUGCCAAAGACACUGAUUUGAUCAUUGUCUCUUUCCCACCUUUCGACAAAAAUUUUGCUGACCAGCCAUUAAUCCGUUUAUUAAGUCUUUUCCAGACAUAAUUAAAGAUUUUACUUUUUUAGCCUCCUAAGCUCUCUGGUAUACCCAAACAUGUACCCAUGCAACAUUCCUUAGUUAUCCAAGGAUGUUUUAAAGUUGAUCUCUUUUUUGGUUUGCUACGCGCCUACCAAACAUAACCGAUGAUUUACUGAGAUUUAUCUCUUGUCCUGAAGCUUUACCAUAAUUCCCAAUAAUAUCCAUCACCGUUUUGCAUUGCUCUGAAUCCGCUUUACAGAAAAAGAGACUAUCAUCGGCAAAGAGUAGAUGUGAAAUUGAUGGGCUUCUUUUCGCUAUCUUAAUUCCGGUCAGCUUUUUUUCUUUUCCCGCCUUGUUAAUAUUUGCAAUCAUUACCUUCGUACAUAAAAUAAACAAACAAGGCGAUAAAGGAUCACCUUGCCGUAAACCUCUACUAGGAAUGAUAUUGCCUCUAGGUUCCCCAUUCAAUAAAACAUGGUACGAGACCGAGCUAACACUCCACAUGAUCCAAGGAACCCAAUUAGAGUUGAAUCCCAACCGAGUCAAUACCGCCUCUAAAAAGUCCCAUUCUAUCCUAUUAUAUGCUUUGCUCAUAUCUGUUUUAAUUGCCAAAAAAUCUGUUCUACACAUUCUAUUAGUCCGUAAACCAUGAAACAUUUACUGAGCUAGUAAGAUGUUGUCUGUUAUAAAUCUCCCUGAAAUGAAAGCAGAUUGUGUUUCAGAGACUAGCCGAGGUAAAAUGUAUUUAAGCCUGAAGCAAAGAAUUUUUGAACUUAUCUUGUAGCUCACAUUGCAGAGACUUAUUGGCCUAAACUCUGCCAUCCUCUGUGGCCUUUCCGUCUUUGGAAUUAGACAAAUAUUUGUUUCAUUUAUUCUCUUAUCGAAACUUCCUGUCCGGAAAAAAAUCUCUGACCAAACCUACCAAAUCUUCCUUUAAGGAAUGCCAAAACCUUUGAUAAAAUAAUGUUCUCAUACCAUCUGGGCCGGCCUGGAGUCUUUUCUGGAUGCAUAGAAAAUAAAGCUUUCCUAACUUCUGUUUCGGAUACCUGCUUGGUUAGUUCCUUGUUCAUAUUUUCCGUAAUAAUUGGAGGCAUUUCAUUUACCAUCUCAGCAAUUCCAUUCGUAUUAGAGACCUUAAAAAUUUCUUUAAAAUAAUUGGUUGCUAUCUCCUCCAUCCCUCUUUCUGAUUCCUCCCAAACGUCAUUAGGUCCAUAUAGACCUGAAAUCUUAUUUCUUGCCCUUCUUUUUUUUGUAGAUGCAUGAAAAUAUUUGGUAUUUUUAUCCCCAACUUUUAACCAAAAAUUUCUGCUCUUCUGUUUCCAAUAAAUUUCCUCCUCAUGAUAAGCUUCCUUUAAUUUAUUUUUGAUUCUUUUUAUUUCCUCUUGCGGAAUCAAGUCAUCAUUCUUUGCUUCUUCUAAAGCCAUCUUAAGCGAAGAAAUAUUGGCCUGACCGGUGGGAAUAUUAUUUUUCCUCCACAAUGAUAUGGAAUUCCUACAAUUCUUUAUUUUAUCCACAAAAACAGGAAUUCUAAAAUUUCUUGUUCGAUUCCAACAUGAAUUUAUGGCCUCAUUAAGACCAUCAUUUCCAACCCAUCUUUUAUCAAAUCUAAAUUGUCGUUUUUUCCUACCCAAAUUUUUCCCACAACUCAAUAAAAUUGGUCGAUGAUCAGAUCCAAUCAUAUCCAAAUAAUCCACUUUUGAAUAAGGAAAUAAGUUAUGCAAUCCUCAUUUCCCAAUGCCCGAUCUAGUCUCCACCUGACUAUCUGUUGGUUCCUAUUACCUCUCCAUGAAAGUUGUUCACCAUAGCAUAGAAAUUCUAGCAUACCGUUAUUUCAAAUCAUAAGACUGAAAGGAACAAAAGAAGCUGAACAAAGGAAGCUGCUGAUCUUAAAUUACCACCUGUUUUCUCAUGAUUUCUGGUCAACUCAUUGAAAUCACCACCUACCAUUAGCCAUGGUUUUUUCCUGUUAGAACCCAACUCUGUUAUUUUAUCCCAUACAAUUUCGCGUUUUGUGGCAACAGGAUCCCCAUAAACGAAUGACAUAAACACUAAUUGUUUCCCAAAAAAUGUUUUAACAUCAAUAAUUCGAUUGCAUGCAUAAAGAAUCUCCAAUUUUAUUUCAUUAUUAUCAAAUAAGGCUAAUCCUCCACUAGCACCGCGCGCGAGGAUCAACUGAUUACAAAUUAUUAAAACCAAAAGAAGUUUGAAAUUUCUGUAAAUAAGGAAGACAUUUUUUGUUUCCGAUAAAAAUGAAAUAUCCGGCUUGUGCUCCCUCCAUAAAUCCUUUAAAAAAUUCUCUGUCAGUUCAGCCCCUAUUCCCUGACAGUUCCAGCUCAGGAUCUUCACGUAGAUCAUUUUCAAAGGAACCUUUAAAUUAAAUUCGGAUUCAAACUCAGUAGUUUAAAUAAUAAACCAAAAAAGUGAGUAAGUUAAACUUUCCAUCAGAAUAAUCACAAAGUUAAUUUGAAAAAUAAUCAAUAUAUAUAUAUAUAUGUAUAUAUAGUCAUGUGAUAAAAUAUUGUUAAACUUUAUCUAUCAAAUUGUUCUAUAUAAUAUUUAAAUAUUUUAUUAAUGUAUGUAAUUAUUUAUUUAGAUAUCCAUUAAAUUUAAUAUGACUUAAGUGUAUUAAUCUAAUACAAUAUGACUUAGUUAUAAAAGUCAUAACAAUUAUAUUUAUGUAUUUGAACCGUAAAUAAUGUAUUAAUUUUAUUUUCUGUACAAAUAUUUCUACAUACGCCCAUUAUGUAUCGUCUUAAUCUAAAUUCCAUAGGGGUGAAUAAACAAUUAUUAAUUGUCAAAAAACAAAUUUCUCUUAUGAACAAAGAAGUUUUAGGGAAUUGCUCUCUCUGUUAUUGAUCAAUUGUACAAGAUACAACAUAUAUAUAGAGAUACAACAUUAGGGUUUAGGUUAAAAAUUAGGUAUUCUAGAACUACUAAUAGGCCAUAUAAUGAACAUCCAUAUAUUACAUAUAAUUAUUCAUAACAAUUUCAGCAUUUUACGUAAUUGUUUUUUGUCGAAGGGCUUUCAGCAUUUUACGUAAUGCGAGACACACACAUUCAUUUGCUUCUCAAAUAAUAUUUUCGUGUCAUCUACUUUAUAUUUUUACUUACCUUAAUCCCGUAGUAUUUUUAAAAUUGUUUUUCAUUAGUCAAUCAUCAUAUAAUUUUAGACAGUCUAACAAAAUAAAUAAUUCCUUCAAUCCUCCGGAAGUUAGCAGUACAUGCAACCAUCUUCCACAUAUGGAAACAGCGCAAGAACGUCCUCCACAAUUUGACAUCGAUACCUCCUGCCACAUUUUCAAAUGCAUCGAUCGAGAAACCAAAAACAUCAUCACCUCUAGAAGAAUCAGACGCAAUUUUCAAAAGUUAAUGGCGUAUAGGCUUGCGAUAAAAUCUACCUAAAUUUUUUCAAGGAUCUUUUGAUUUCCUUGUUUUUAUAUUUUUUGCCAAAGAACUAUAUAUGUAAAACCUGACUGUUCAUAUUAAUGAUAUUUACAUGCAUUAGCAAAAAAAAAAAUAAUAAUAAUAAUAUAAUUGGACAGUAAACAAAAAUGUCUCCUUACUCCUUUUUUUUGUGCACCAACAUUUAUAAAUUACUAGUCAUCCUCAGAGAGGGAAAUGUUACAAAAGAAGGGGUCAGAGCCUUCAAAGCCAUCAAACUCGCUGCUACAAGAGCAAAGCGAAACACAAGGGUAGUAGAUAGGAGGAUAGAUCAAAGCAAUCCUAGCACUUAAACAAAAAACAUUAUCGCGGAGUCCUUGAACCUUGAUAAUCCUAGUGCUAAUAAGUGAGAAGACGCCUUGGACAACACAACACACAGAUAGUGAUAUGCUGCUCGUGAUUGAAUCUGCCACUAGGCAAGCAAGACAAUCCCAAAGUUGGCAAGCAAAACAGGGGUGACAAAGCACCAAUUUGCAGAGUCGUUGAAACCAACAGAGAGCGAGGUCUCUGAAGAGCAUCCUUCCAGAACAAAAGCUGGUCGCGCAACACAAGGGCAACAAUAAAGGAGCCAUGGAAGCAAGGAUGAAGGUGUGAUGAAACUCUCCUUAUAAUAGGAAAAAGGAGCAAGAGACCUCUCCUGACCAUGGCAGGAGGAAGAUUGGCUCUGUGGAGGCAGAGCGUCUUGAUGCUUCAAAUAGGAACGGAGGAUAGAAGUAUAUCCAAUCCCAUAUGAACGAAGGAUAGAAGUAUAUCGAGACCAAGAAAAAUAUCCAAAAUAAUAGGACCAAAAACUUGAGCCCAUGGAGGAACUAAAAAAGGCCCAUACUGAAGUAAGUAUGGACCAAGCCCAACAAGGAUACAAUCUCAGCACACGUACCGAGAAAAGACCUAGGGCAUCCACCGGAGCUUGGCGGCGGCUAGCUGAAACGAGGGUUGUAGUUGGAGCGGAUGACGACAUCGAACUUAGAUGAGCCUUGGGAAGUGAAGAUGCGGCGGAGACUGGACCAACGGCGAAGGCUUGGGUUAGAUUUAGAUUGCUGUAGCAGGGAAACGCGGCGGAGACACCAAGGCGGACAAGGCAAGUAGAGGACCAUUGUUGAAUCAUUGAGGACAUAUCUGCCUUCGAGAAGAGCAGAGAGACGCCGGCGGUGAAACUUCUACACCGCAAGAUCUGGGCGAGAGAUAAGAGACACUCCGUACCAAUCAAAGGUAGAGAGGCACAUGAAACGUUGCUGUCAGAUCUCGCACGACGGAGCCACCCGAGCGCAAAGAUGUUGGCAUCAGGAGCGGUCCUCAAAAGCCUCAUGAAAUGGCCGGGAACAAAAGCGAAAAACUGAAACGAGAGCAAAGGUAACACAAGAAAGCCAAGAUGAAUGGUAAGAGGAACGACGGUCCGACGCCGGUGAGAAACGGCUCUCCCGGCGUCGGAAAACAUGGGCGAAAGUGGUUCCUCGAUAAUCACGCCAGAGAGAGUUUUUUGUGUUAAAGAUAACUUAAUAAACGAUUUUUUAUGUUACAAAUCCUUUACGUCUCCUCACUCCUAUCAUAUGAUAAUAGAUCAAAAAUCUGAUAUUUUGAAGAAACCCUCCUUUUUCUGAUUAAUUAAUUAUUUUUCUAACAAAAAAAAGAAACUAUUAACUAUUAAUUUUUUAGAAGAUAAAAAGUUUCUGUUAUUUAUCAUUAUAAUUCCAUGUCCCAUUCGCGACGUAGGUUAUUAAAUAAGAAUUUAGUCCAAAAUAUCUUAACAUAUCAUGUUAUACAUUGCUUGUCAAGCUUCAUUUUGAAUUUUUGGUUUUAGUCGAGCUCUAUUUUACAUGGAAAGAGAUAUUAAAAGUGUGAUCAAAAGAUAUCUAUAAAGGUUGAAAAUUCUACUACGACAAGUUUAGUAUUUUUUUUUCUUUUUCAUUUUCAUGUUUUUUUUAAUUAGUUAAUUGAUACUGAUGUGUCUACAACUAAACCAAACUAUACAUUAGUUACACAAAUAUAAUACGUACGAACCUACAAAUCAUUUAUCAUUUAUUGCUAAAGACAUGCAUAUAUAUAUAUAUAUAUAUAUAUAUAUAUAUAUAUACAAAGCACAACAACUCUACAUUGAUAUUAGCGGGGGAAAAACAACAACUAACUCUUCAUAGACCUAUUAGAUAUAUGCUCGUGAUAUUUGAGUUCUUACAAAUGACAUUCUACUAGAUAUAAGAGACAAAUUUUGUCCUGGAUCUGGAUAGACAAAAUGCAGUUUGCAACACGCAAACUACAUCGGAAGAUCUAAUAGACUUUUAUCAAAAAAAAAAAAAAAAAGAUCUAAUUGACCAAUUAGAAAAUGUGAAAAAGGGAACUAUUAAUCGCAAAAAUUGAUAUAUUUUAAACUGGGUCUGUAUAGAAAUUGUUUGACACUUAUUUACUUUUUACUCUAAACCGGUUUCAUUUAUUAUGAGAAAAAAGAUUUAUAUGAACACUACACUAAAACAAAAUUACCUCAUUAAUAUAAUGCUCUCAUACCACCAUAUUUAGGUUUAACUUUAACCCUAGUAACUUUCUUGUAAUAGAAAAAAAAAUCUUGUAAUAAAAAUUAGAGUAAAAUAUAAUAGUGUAAUGAGAGUGACGAAUCUCCACAAUAUAGUUCAAUGAGUCAGUGACCAACAAAAUAAAAGUAAUACUAGUAAGGAAAAAUGGAAGAUUUAUUAUAAGACAAAUAGACUAGCUAGUGGGUUUGACAUGUAUAUAGCUCAAGUACAAUGGCUGCACUAGAUCAUCACGAAUCUAAACGGUCGGCCAUGCCGUGGAAUCUAACAAAACCGGUCAUAAUCUAUAUAACACAUUACAUUAUAAUCUAUUGCUACAACGAUUCUUAAUUGUUUGAUGUAUAUUCAAUCAACAAUUAAAUGCUAUUAUAUAUAUAUAUAUAUAUAUAUAUAUCUAAAACAAAUAAAACACACAUUUCGCAAAAUAUUAUCGCAAAAUCAUACUUUUAAAUAUUUUUGCACAUUUUGGUUUAAAAAAAUUAUAUAUCUAGUUCAAUGAUGCUUGAGGUUGAGGUCAUGAGCAAAUGCAAAAGACAUAUGAAAUGCUCACAUAAUUCAUGAUGGUUUGUGUCACUAAUUUGAUUAUUAUUGAACCAAACAUGCAUGUUGUUCUUGAUUGUCCUUCCUCAUGGUCACCAUAAUCAUCGUCUGCAUUUCUUUUCCCGGUCGUGGAAAAUUUUCUGUUUUUGUAACUGUGGGACGUUUGUAACUUCUGGGCCUAAACUCAUUUGGGUGUGGGUCUCUUUUAAUAAACAAGUUUAAAAAAAAAAUAAAAAAAAAUCAAUCGUCUUGCAAAUCAAGGUUGCUUUUAUGCCUAAAUCACACCUCCAACUCCAAGGGAUGAAAAUGCCAAGGUGUUUGACUUAUCCCAAACUCUGUUUUUUUUUUUUUUUUUCUUUUUUUUGGGUCAAACCAUUGCAUUCAAAUUAAUCCUUAAAACAUGAGAAUCCAUACAACUUGAAACCGAAAAAACUAUAAGAAAUGUAAAGAUAAAGACUUGAAUUUUUUUCCAAAGAAAUGCUUAACUGCAAAAAGCUUGCAUUAAAUUUAACGGAAAUAUCUCUAGACGUCUGGAGUCUGGACGGAUUUAUAAUUGAAGACAAACUUAAAAAAAUUCUAGACCAACUUGUGGUCAAAAACGGUAAAGCCCAAUACUGGUCCAAUCCCUGAAACCUAGUAACAUUAUCGACAGCUUGAUCCCAAACUCCAUACAAGUUUACAUAUUAACCCAAGAAAUAAAGGUUUGGCCCACUUUAUUGUACUGUUAAUUUUUUUUUUUUUUGUUGUUGUUUGUCAAGUAAUGAUUAGACGAUUAACCACAUUUUCGAUUCCUAACACAACCAUUACGGCAUUACCCUAAGUAUCUUGAAAUUCAAUUUAAAUAUAUUUCUCCUAAUUACUUUUCGUGUGUCCUUUUCUUGUGGUGUAUACGUAUGUGGUUAAUGGGGCUUUCGAGAAAAGAAAAAAAAAAGGUGUGAAUACAAAACAUUGGAAACUAAGUAUAUGCACAAAACAUUGGUAAUCGGUGAUUUGAUGUGUUCCUUCUUCCUAAAAAAAACCUUAAGAAUUUCACUUUUAAAACGAAAUCAGAUUUUGCUCUUUUCGCUUGAAAGUACUUGUAGACAAAGAUAUAAUCUGAAUUAUCAUAACGUUUGUUUGAUAUCAUUACGCUUUUUUUUUUUUUUGUAAAAAAAAUAUAACUUACCAAUAAUCAACUUUUUUGGUUCUGGUUCUGUAUGAUUCGUCAAUAAUUGAAACAACAAUACCCAGUAACAAAUAUAAACCAUAGAAAAAGAAUAUGAUAUGAAGUUCCAUAGAGAAAGAACUAGUAUCAAAUUCCGAUAUAAAUUAUACCAUUUGUCUCCAGCUUCCUAGGCCGGCAAAGUAUGAACCCUUCCACUUUCCAAUUUGUUCGGUCAGAAAUAGAUUUAUAUUCCACAUUUUCUCGCAGCUUAUAUAUAGACACACACACUUAAUGUAUGUGGAAUUUGAAAUUUAUAUUGAUAUAGUAAAAUGGGAUGUGUAUGCAGCAAGAACUUAGAAGGAAGAAGGCAUGAAGACAUUACCCUUCUUGCUUCUCAAACCUUUUGUAAGUCAUGUCUACUUCAAAAAAUCCACCACUUCCGCCUAUAUAUACACAAUAAUACUGACACAUGUGUAUUUACUUGCAUGGAAAAAUAAUACUUUUACUCGAGUUUGUAGAAAAUAACAUCAUCUUAAUUGUUUUGGGUUUGCAGUUAGCGAGGCUGAGGUUGAAGUUCUGCAUGAAUUAUUCAUCCAACUCACUUCUUGUCUCAGCAACGACAAUCUUUUGACCAAAGUUAGACACCAAACUAAAUUAUUUUUCCACAAUGUGAAUAUUAAUUAUUAUAAAUAUAAGUGUUUAUACUACUUGUCGAAAAGUUGUGUUAGUGUUAUAUCGAAUGUGGUUGGCUUUUUCAGGAACAUUUUCAAUUCAUCUUAAUCAAGAAUACCAAUAGGCGCAGUAUUUCUGCUGACCGGGUAAGUUUCUAAUGAAUUUCUAAUAUAUUAAGCGGAAAAACAUAUAAACUUCGAUUGAUGUUGUUCAUACGUAAAACUUCUUAAUUCUCAUAUCUGAAAUGUGCAGAUUUUCGGAUUAUUCGAUAUGAGAAACGAUGGGGCAAUAGAUUUUGGAGAGUUUGUACAUACUCUCAACAUUUUUCACCCAAACUCAUCCCAAAGAGAUAAGGCCAUAUGUAUAUACUUCAUCACUUAUAAUGUGUUUAUUCAUUUGUUCCAUGUUAUUAUUAUUUUCUAUAUGAAGAUCAAUGUUAUUAAUUAUAACCACAAAUAAUAUAUCUGAUCACUUGUUUAUAACUAAACAGUUGCAUUUAGAUUAUACGAUACUCGUCAGACUGGAUUCAUUGAACCGGAGGAGGUACGUUUCGUAAUAUUAUAUUCGUCGUUUCUAAAAAAAGGAAAAAGUAUUUAAGCGAUGAUUAAUUAUAUUUUACGGUUUUCCUCGACUUGGAGAAAAUUAUAGGUUAAAGAGAUGAUAAUAGACGUUCUAGAGGAAUCAGAACUUAUGCUAUCCGAGAGUAUCAUCGAUUCUAUCGUGUCUAAAGUAUGUAAUGCUUAAUUUUUGGUGCCCCUUUAACAUUUUUAGUUAUUUUACUUACUGUUUUUGUUUACAUUUAUUUUGGCAAGACAUUUGAAGAGGCGGAUUGGAAAAAGGAUGGGAAAAUAGAUUUAGAAGAAUGGGAGGAUUUUGUUGCCAACUAUCCUUUGACACUAAAGAACAUGACUAUCCCUUUCUUGAAGUAAUUCGUUUGUUUGUUUUUUCCUAUAUAUAUAUAUAUACAGCAAAUAUAUAGUUUAGGGAAAGAUGAACCAUUUCCUUAAUAUUCGCUGAUAAAUUGCAUUUUUUAGAAUACAUCUUUCAAGAACCAGCUUCUAUAUAUAUAUGUAAUAUGUGUGUGUUUAUGCAUAGAUUAUCUAUAUGUAGACUUUGUUUGUUUUUUUGUGUAGAGUUUGUUUGUUUGUUUUUUUUUGUGUAUAUCAGAUCAUUAUCUUUGAAAACUAAGACAUUUAAUUUACUCCAAAGUCUUUUUUGUUUUCAGGGACAUACCAAGGAUUUUUCCAACAUUCUUCCGGUAAAAAUCAAAUAAGAUGUUUUUGCUUUGUCUCGCUACAAGUUUUUUUAUUUGAAAAAUACUCCCUCCGUUUCAAAAUAUAAGGCGUUUUGGAGAAACUUUUUUGUUUCAUAAUAUAAGUCGUUUUCAAGUUUCUAUGCAAAUUAUAUAUUACUUUAAUAUUUUAUAAUUAUUUCUAUUAUGCAAUAUCUUUUAUGAUUGGCUGAACUUUAAAAAAAUAGAUUUUCUUAAUCUGCGUGCUUUUAGCUAAAACGCCUUAUAUUUUGAAACGGAGGGAGUAUUUUUAUCUGAAAAGCUACGUAUGUUAUUAAUGAAAAGAAAAGAGAAAGUUAUUACAUAACCAUAUUAAACUAUCUAAAGGAAUCGUCUUACCAAAAGGAAUCGUCUUACCUAAAGUUAAACUAUCUAAAAGAAUCGUCUUACCUAAUAUCUUUAAUGUUUAACAAGGAUAGAAAGUAAUUGUUUUUAACCACAAAAGCUAAAGCUUGAUAUGAAAAGUUAAAAGCACAUAUAGGUUUGUGAAGACAAAAGAUGUUUUCAAAAAGAAAAAAGGAAAGAAAAAGAAUAAAUUUGUGGAAAGUCGAGGAAAAUGAGAACACGGAAAAUUGAAUAUGAUAUAAGUUGGCAAAAAGAAAGAGAAAAAAUCGGCAUGAUAUUACAAUCAAAUUUUUAAAUCAGGUUAAUUAAUCAAAUUCACGAUGAUUCUAAAAAACGUUUGAAUAGCAGUGAGUUUAAAAUCAGUUAUUCAAGUUAGUUUUGGUUAUUAACAAACCGAAAAAAUGAAAACAAAAUAUUGAGACUCGCAGAAAAUAUUUUCUGUCAAAUAUUCCAGAUAUAUAAAUAGACAUUUUUUUUACAUAUAAAUAGACAAUUUCAAAAAUGUGGUAAAUUGUAUCGUUUUUAUUUCAAAUUUAACUGAGGAGGAAAAAAAAGUUAAGAAUAAAAAAUUGAACACAUAAUUUACAAUUUUGUCCACGUACAUUUCGAUAAAGAAUGCCAUCACAAGUUUUCAAUAGAAUUAGUGAGAUUACUUAGAACUCAGUAACUUUACAAACACAUUUAUCACACUAACUUCAUUUUUUUUACACCAAACUUAUAUUAAAAUUAACUAGCGAUUACAUCACCACACAAAAUUGAAAGUUCUUUACCAAGGAACACACUUGUCGAGUGUUUGAAAUAGAGACAUAACUGAACAUAAGCUUGAAAACGAUAAAAUAAAAAAUUAAAAUCGUAGAUGAUAAUUGGUAACUUCUUUGAAAGGGUUUCGAGAGAAAUCAGAUUGAAAUCGAUCGUCGACUCUUGGUCUUCCAAUAAAUCCGAGAAUGAUGCUAGAAUUUUUGCUUUGGAAGGCAAGCGAACAACAAGAGCUUUUGAUGUUUUUAGAACUGAAUUUUUGAAAACAUUUUUUUAAGAAAAAAUUUAAUGUUAAAUUAUAUUCAAAAGAAAAAACCCACAGUUUAUUACAUUGAAAUGCAACUUUUCAUAAGAAUUAAGUAAAAUGUCUUUUAGAAACAUUCUCCAUGAGGGAGAGUAAUGCUGAAAAAUGUCUUUUCGAAGAGAAGGAAGGAUGAUGGAAUUGAUCUUUCUAAAAAGGAAGAUAAAUGCGGAAGUGAUCUCUCCAUUAAAAAAAAAAUUCUCUAUAAAAGAGGAAGAUAACGGAGAAGCACCGGAAUCACAACCAGUUUUAACUUGAGAGGGUUUAGAACAUGGCCCAAAGAUAAUGAACCUACUAGGCCCAAGAGAAGGCAAACAUUUGCUUAAAAACUCUCUUGUUUUCUACACACAAGAUAAAUUGUAGAGAAAAGUUUUGUUUGAUUAGUUAACAAUCAUUUGCUCAAAGGAUUUGUAUAGGUGGCAGCACCAUUUUUGUUAGAGGAUCCGAUCAAUUGUAGAGAAAAGUUAUAGACUAAAUAAUUAGAAAACAUAGAGAAUUCUAUAGGAACAUUUUAAAAAGAGAAUGUUGUGAUAUCAAAAACCAAUACUCUUUCUUUCAUCUCUAAAAUCGGACUAAAAAUAUGAUUUCGAUUUUACGCUUUCCCAUAAAAAUUUUACAUUUAAUGUGAUGACAAAAACUUAAUUUUUUUUUUGUUUACAACUAUUAUUACUAGGUCAUAACCCCCAUCAUAUCGCGGGGAACUCAUUUUCAACAAAUAUAUUUUAUUAUAUUUUGUAUUAAAUUAUUAUGAUAAUAUAUUCAAAUAUUUAAAUUAUUACAUAAAAUUAACGAUGUUUUAAAGUUAUAUCAUAAAUAUUUGGGAGACUCACAAAAAUGCCCCUUUUUCAAUACCCCUUUUCAAAAAUGCCCCUUUUGGCUGUCCAUUUUUAAAAAUACCCCUUUUUAUGUACAAAAUGACUAAAUUACCCUUAUUUUAAUAAAAGAUAUCACAAAUAUAUAAGGAAAUAUAACAAAAUUAAGUCCACAAAAUACAAAAUAUUUUUUGGCGGGAAAAGUGAUCCCUCAAUUUUUCCCGCCAAAACACUUGUAAAAAACCUUUAAAAUACCUUGUAAAAUUUUUCCGUAAAAUUUUUUCCCGCCAAAAAAUUUUCCCGCCAAAAAUUUUUUUUUGCGGGAAAAGUGAUUCCGUAAUUUUUUUGGCGUUAAAUUUUUGGCGGGAAAAUUUUUGGCGGGAAAAAUUUACAAGGUAUUUUAAAGGUUUUUUACAGGGUAUUUAUAAGGUUUUACAAUGUAUUUUAAAAGGUUUUACAACGUAUUUAUAAGGUAUUUAUAAGAUAUUAUAAGAUUUUACAAGCUAUUUUAUAAAGUUUUACAAGUUCUAAGAUUUUACAAGUUUUUUAUAAGGUUUUACAAGUUUUUUACAAGUUAUAAAUUCCUUAUAAAACUUUAUAAGUACCUUGUAAAACCUUUUAAAAUACAUUGUAAAACCUUACAAAACACUUGUAAAUACUUCGUAAAACCUUUAAAAUACCUUGUAAAUUUUUCCCGCCAAAAAUUUUCCCGCCAAAAAAAUUUUGCCAAAAAAAUUGCGGAAUCACUUUUCCCGCAAAAAAAAUUUUUUGGCGGGAAAAAUUUUUACGGGAAAAUUUUAUAAGUUAUUUUAAAGGUUUUUUACAAGUGUUUUGGCGGGAAAAUUGCGGGAUCACUUUUCCUGCCAAAAAAAAUUUUGUAUUUUGUUGACCUAAUUUUGUUUCAAAUAAGGGUAAAAUGGUCAUUAAAAAUUAAAAGAGGGCAAACUUAAAAAUAGACUCUCAAAGGGGGCAUUUUUUAAAAAGGGUAUUGAAAAAUGGGCAUUUUUAACAAUUUCUCUAAAUAUUUUCCAAAUAUGUUAAAACAAUUUAUGAAUAAAAUGUAAAAAAAAGAAUUAUGAUUAAAAACACUUUUGAAACAUUUUUUCUGAAUGUAAAAUUAUUUAUAAUUAAGUGGUAAAAUACAUAACGAAGAGUUAUAAUAUAGAGAUGAAAAAUUCUAGUGGGUCAAAACCAAAAAAAUCGGAUGAUAUCAGUACUCAGAACGACUUGUGGGUGACUAAGAACUUCAUCCGAGAAUUGGUGUUUUUUGUUUGUCGACUACUCUUUAAAUAUAAAAUUAAUAUUUAUUUUAUUUUAUAUAUUUGAGAAAAUAUAAUAUUUGAUGACGUAAAUUACAUCUAUAAUAAACAAAUAAAUAUUUACAAGAUCUCAUAAAUUUGUAUUUAUAUUGAUAAAUUAACUGAUUAAAAAAACUUUUUUCUUGAAUAUUUAUGUGACGAAUUGGAAUGAUUACUUUUUUUCUAAUAAAGGAGAUGAUUUCUAGAUUAUUAUACCAUCUGAAACGGUUCAUUUGAUGCUUAUCACAUUUAAAGCGUCCAAUCAAAAGCGUCACAUGAGAAUGUUUUUUCAUAUUCGGACUUUGUAAUAGUGUCAACGCAUCAUCAAUAUUUCGUUAUAUACAACCCAUAUAUAUUGUCUUAAGAUAAAAACCCUCAUUGUUACCAUAUAAAAUAGUUGAAUAAAAAAAUUCACUGUAUAAUCCGUCCAAUUCUAAAGAAAAAAUUGUUGGUAUUUUCAUUAGAAUUUUAUAUUUAAAGUUGAUUAAAACUUCUCUAUUUUUAUAAUCAUUCCAAAAAACUUUGGUUAGAUAAAGAAUGAGAAUCAUUUCUUUAAUAUUAAAAUGAUGUAUGUUUAAAAAUAGUUUAGAGAAUAAAGAAUUUGGAACUAUUUUACAGAUUGAUUUUUUUGGAUUCAUCAUGAAAUAAAUAAUCUAUAUUAAAGAACAAAAAUUUGGGAACUACUAAGCAAAAAUGACAAAUAUAUAGAGUUCAAAAGUCACAAAUAUCCAAAUAGAUAACAAUUCAUACAAAAAUUUGUGACGAAAAAAUGCAAUGAAAUAUAGUAAAAAGACGUAAUUUUAAAUGAAUAGAUAUAACUAUAAAGACACAGCCGUAAACUAAAAAAUGCGACUAUAUUUUAAAGGCAAGUUACGAUAAAAAGAACAACCGCAAAAAUAACCGUCAACAAAAAAUGUAACCGUAAAUAUUUUAACGAAGAGUUGUGAUAAAAAGACACAAUUGAGAAAAAAUAGCUGUCAAUAUUUUAACAGAAAAUUACGAUAAAAAGACAAAAACUAAAAAAGUAACCAUCAAUAUUAAAUCGGAAAUUUUUGAUAAAAGACACAACCGGAAAAAUAUUUGUCAACGAAAAAUUAACCGUCAAUAUUAUAACGAAGAGUUGCGAUAGAAAGACACAACCGAGAAAAAAUAAUCGUCGAUAUUUUAACGGAAAAUUGCGAUAAAAAAUACAUAAACAAAAAAAUAACAGUCAAUAAUUUAACGGAAAGUUAUGAUAAAAAGAUACAACCGAAAAAGUAAUUAUCAAUAAAAAAAAGUAACCGUCAAUAAUUUAAUGAAGAGUUGCGAUAAAAAAUACGCAACUGUGAAAAAAUAACUGACAAUAUUUUAACGGAAAUGUGCGAUAAAAAGACACAACGGAGAAAAAAGAACCGUCAAUAUUUUAACGGAAAGUUGCGAUAAAAAUGCACAACCGAGAAAAAUUACCGUCAAUCUUUUAACGGAAAGUUGCGAUAAAAAGACAAAAGUAAAAAAAAGUAACCAUCAAUAUUUGAACGGAAAGUUGCGAUAAAAAGACACAACCGAAAAAAUAACCGUCAACGAAAAAAGUAACCGCCAAUAUUUUAACGAAGAGUUGCGAUAAAAAGACACAACCGAUAAAAAAUAACCGUCAAUAUUUUAGUGAAAAAUUACAAUAAAAAACGCAACCGAAAAAAAUAACCGUUAAUAUUUUAAUGAAAACUUGCGAUAAAAAGAUACAACCGUAGAAAAAUAACCGUAAAUAUUUAAUCGAAAGGUUGCGAUAAAAAGACGCAACCGUUCAGAAGUACAAAACACAUUUAUUGAGAUUGCUAUUAUAUAUAGAUUAAUUAACUUGUGAGGCACAACUGUUAAAAAUGUAACCAUAGAAACUAGGCCUGGGCAUUCGGGUACCCGUUCGGGUUCGGUUCUUUCUUUUCGGGUAUCGGGUCUAUUCGGGUAGGGGGUCAAGAUCCAUUCAGGUAUUCUAAAAAUUCGGUUCGGGUUCGGUUCGGGUAUUUUAAUAAAAAAGCAAAAUACCCGAAAAUAACCAAAAAUACCCGGAAUAUUUUUCGGGUUCGGGUUUUUAACUCAUAUAUACCCAAAUCUAACCGAAAUACCCGAUUUCUCGAAAAUACAUUGGUUACUUUUUACCCAAAUAUAACCAAAAAUAUCUAAAAUACCUAAUAUAUUCGGAUUUAUAAUUGUAAUUUUAGGUAUUUCGGGUAUUAUAAAUAUAAAAAUAACUAAUAUUUUUAGGUGUAUAUUUGUAUUCGGGUACAUUCGGAUACAUUCGGGUAUUGGAUUUGGUUCGAGUUCGGUUCGAGUUUUUUUCGGGUAGGAGGUUAGGACCCAUUCGGGUAUUUUUAAAAAUCGGGUUCGGAUUCGGUUCGGGUAUUAUUCGGGUUUUUCUGUUCGAAUAUUCAGUUCCGGGUAUUUUGCCAGGCCUAAUAGAAACGACCAAUACAGAUUUACAAGAAAAGUAUCAUUAAAUCGGAAAACUGCAAAGCAUAUAUAAUACGAAUUCUAAGUCUUUAAUUAUUAUCAUAAGAAAAUAGUUCCGUAAUCGUGGAAAAAAAGAUAUGAUCAAAUCAAAUGAGAUUUGCUUUGCAUGAUGAUGCCAUAUGUCAGACCAACACAAUGAGCUGUUGUGUCGAUGAACCACCAUAUGCCAAGAUGCGCUAUUACCGACAACAUAUUUGUAUAGUCAAGUUUCAUUAAUUAACAUCCACAGAUCCAAGUCCAACAACUGAAAAAUAAAAUAAAUAUCAUAAGUAGAAUGUAAAGUAGAAAUACUUGUGUACUUAAAUUUUUUGGCUUAUGCCUCUUAAUUAUUAUUACACUAGACUCGACGAAACCAACACUAGCAUGAUUAAAAAAAAAAAAAAAGAUUACAAUUCUAAUUUCCAUUUUAAAACUUUUUAAAAACACAAAAUUUUAAUAAAAAAAAAAACAUUACAAAAUAAAAUUUAAGACUAGACAUCAACUUUACAAGUUGAAGGAGCGAGAAGAGGAACUUGUCCAUUAGAAGAUGGAUUAAAUCUCAACCACACAUCACACCUGGCAUAAAAUCCAUACCGUCCAGUCUUAAUCGCACCAGCUUUCCAUCGGAGCCUCCCUAAAAUCACCACUCUCAUCAAAACGACACCGUAAGCUUCAUCAUUCUUCAAACCGUUAGCCACUUCCGGCGAAACUGGUAUACCGUUGCCUCCCAUCACCGGAGCUAUCACCACCGUAGAUUUAUGUCCUAAACGAAGCGGCGGUAACGGAAGCGGCGGUGUUAUGAUCUGAUCUUUGUACGUUACGUACAUAGAGAGCUUGUCGUAGUGAAUUGAUACUCUCCGGUUAGGGUUUCUUGCCAAAACGCUGAACUGAACGGAGGUUGAGAUUAACGGCGGCGCCGUGAAAUUGAGGUCGUAGAUGGCGGCUCCGACGACGGUGAGACGUGGUUUGUGUGGACGGUAGACGAGCCAAAGGAUUAAAGCGAUGAUACCUAGUAAGAUGAGGACAGUGAAGAUCGCGCCGCAGAUUGCGCGGAGUGCACCUCCACCGCCGCCUCCUCCACCUUUAGAGUAAGAUUCCGGCGUUGAAGAAGCGGAGGGAGCGUUCUUGUGAUCUGCUUUGGCUUCCCCUUCACCCAUGGCUAUAGUCUAUAGAUAUAAGUAUGUAUGUAUGUAUAAGUGUGUGUGUAUAUAUACGAGAACCAGAGGAUUUAUUAAGGGUUUGGUGAAGAGUGAAGACUGUAAAGAAGGAGGAGGAGGAGAAGAAGAUAAGUAGAUGUAAGUUUUUGUCUUGUUUUGUCUACUUAAUAAGAGUAAACACUCUUUUAGAGUCCAUUUUAUUACUGUUUUACAUUGUGGUUUUUAUUAUAAUAUUAAUGUUUUUACUUUCGAAAGACUCCAAAUCUCGGAGCAACCGUUCACGUGACGGAUCUGAUGGUUUUAAAUAAAAAAAAUUUAAUUUUAUCAUAUAAAGAGAUGUAAUGUAAUGUGUAUGUGGCUAUACAUAAUCAAAUAAGUGAUUGUCUAUGAUUGACUUAUUUGAUGACUACUAUGGUUUUCGUGCAAGGUGAUAACUAUCACUUUUUGGCCGUGUUGAAACUUUUAAAAUUAGAAUGAAAAUUAUCACGUUACGGGCUUUACGGCUUGUAAAAGUUAAAACAAAAUAUCUGUUUGCAAUGCCAAAUACGAAUAUUAGCAUCUUAAUUGGUUAUGUGGCCAGAUUUUUUUUUUUUCAUGCAAUCUAUCAUAUUUCACAAUUAUUAAUCAACUGUAUGCUAUGAACGAUUAAUUCAUGGAAGGUAUAGUAAAUGAAUUAGGUACCACAUAUAUCAUAUUUGUUCUAAGGUUUAGAAAAAAGAAAGUACAACAGCCUUUUAUGUCCACAUCUCCAACAAUAAUUUCGAACAAAUUCCAUAUAAUUAAAUAUACAUAUAAACUCAUAUUAAUAAGCUUCCAAAAUAAUUAAUAUGAAGAAUCUGUUAUUAAUUCACACUAACCGAGAUACCGCACCGACACCGUAUUCACCGACAAUGAUACGGAUAGUACCUGGGCCUAUAUCUAAAGCCCAUUUUAUUAAUUGGGCCUGAGUAAUUUAAAACUAUUGUGUACACCUGCUUAACUGAUUCAUCUCUCACUUCUAACGGCUGAUAUAUUUGACGACAAAAAAAAACGGCCGAUUUAUUAAAAGCUCCGAACGAUGAUUCGCCGGCCGAUCUACGACUGCUCCGCCGCUGCUCGCCACCUAAUUUCUCCGUUAUCGACAUUUUCGCGUUUUCUAUCUGAACACAAAGCUGGAGAACCGAAGGCCUCGGCUUUGGUAUCGAAUCCUAGCCCUAAAUCCCCAAUCGGGUCUCCGACUCGGGUUCAAAAGCUCAUAGCUUCGCAAUCGGAUCCUCUCCUCGCCAAAGAGAUUUUCGAUUACGCUUCUCAACAGCCCAAUUUCCGCCAUUCUCAAUCUUCUUAUCUCAUCCUCAUUCUCAAACUCGGCCGUGCUAGAUAUUUCAAUCUCAUCGACGACGUUCUCGCCAAGCACAGAUCAAGUGGUUAUCCGUUAACCGGAGAAAUUUUCACAUAUCUGAUCAAAGUCUACGCAGAGGCAAAGAUACCGGAGAAAGUUUUAAGAACGUUUUACAAAAUGCUGGAGUUCAAUUUCACGCCGCAGCCAAAACAUCUGAAUCGGAUUCUAGAGGUUCUUGUAAGCCAUAGAGGUUAUCUCCAGAAAGCUUUUGAGCUUUUCAAGAGUUCACGGCUUCACGGAGUAAUGCCUAACACGAGAAGCUACAAUAUAUUGAUGCAAGCUUUUUGUUUGAAUGAUGAUUUGAGUAUUGCAUACCAAUUGUUUGGUAAAAUGCUUGAGAGAGAUGUUGUCCCUGAUGUGGAGUCUUAUAAGAUUCUGAUAAAAGGGUUUUGUAGGAAAGGGCAAGUGAAUGGUGCUAUGGAAUUACUGGAAGAUAUGUUGAAUAAAGGAUUUGUUCCCGAUAGACUGAGUUAUACGACAUUGUUGAACAGUUUGUGUAGGAAGACGCAGCUCAGAGAGGCUUAUAAGCUUUUAUGUAGGAUGAAGUUAAAAGGUUGUAAUCCUGAUCUUGUUCAUUACAACACGAUAAUUCUCGGGUUUUGUAGAGAAGAUCGCGCGAUGGAUGCUAGGAAAGUUCUUGAUGAUAUGUUGUCUAACGGUUGCUCGCCUAAUUCGGUCUCGUAUAGGACAUUGAUUGGAGGAUUGUGUGAUCAAGGAAUGUUUGAUGAAGGGAAGAAGUAUCUACAAGAGAUGAUAUCGAAGGGGUUUUCUCCUCAUUUCUCGGUUUCGAAUUGUUUGGUAAAAGGGUUUUGCAGCUUCGGGAAAGUUGAAGAAGCGUGUGAUGUGGUAGAGGUUGUGAUGAAGAACGGAGAAAUAUUGCAUUCAGACACUUGGGAGAUGAUAAUUCCAUUGAUCUGUAAAGAAGAUGAGUCGGAGAAGAUCAAACGGUUUCUUGAAGAUGCUGUAAAGGAAGAGAUAACCGGUGAUACCAGAAUUGUCGAUGUCGGUAUCGGUUUAGGUUCUUACCUUUCUAGUAAGCUACAGAUGAAACGUAAAAAUGUUAGAGAGAGGAGGAGACAUUUAUAGGUUACUGAUCCUGAGGAACUGUAGAAGAAACCUCGAGUUUGUUUGCUCAGAAAGUGUUGUGAUAUUGGUUAGUGGGCCUCAUUUGGGCUUUUACUAUUAUUUUAAGCCCAUUUGGCUUCAUAUCAGAUUCUGAUCAUUUAGUAAGUGAGAGUGGCAACGAAUCAGAUCUGAAUUUCGCCGAUUACUCAGAAAAUCAUAAAAAUGCCGGAGCUUGAACAAGACGUUGCGGCGGCGGAGACGGUGGAUUCCUCCACCGUGAAAUUUGGUACACCAGAAGCACUUGAGUAUGUACGGUCGCUCACUGACGUUGGCGCGAUGACGCGUCUUCUUCACGAAUGUAUUGCUUACCAGCGAAGCUUAGACUCAGAUCUCGACACGCUUCUAUCGCAGCGGACGGAGCUUGAUCGGAAUCUCGUUCAGCUUCAGAGAUCCGCCGAGAUUCUCGAUAUCGUAAAAGCGGAUGCAGAUCACAUGCUCGGAAAUGUUCGAUCGACUUGUGAUCUCGCGGAUCAGGUCAGUGGCAAGGUACGAGAACUCGAUCUUGCUCAAUCUCGUGUUAAUGUUACUCUCUCCCGCAUUGACGCGAUUGUCGAGCGAGGGAAUUGUAUCGAAGGCGUGAAGACUGCUUUGGAAUCGGAGGAUUAUGAAUCUGCUGCGAAAUUUGUACAGAGAUUUCUCCAGAUCGAUUCGCAGUACAAGGAUUCUGGUUCUGACCAGAGAGAACAGCUUCGCGCGUCGAAGAAGCAGCUUGAAGGUAUUGCGAAGAAGAAGCUUUUAGCGGCAAUAGACCAGAGGGAUCAUCCUACGAUUUUGAGAUUCGUGAGACUGUAUUCUCCAUUGGGAAUGGAGGAAGAAGGUCUACAGCUAUACGUUGGUUACUUGAAAAAGGUCAUUGCGAUGAGAGGAAGGAUGGAAUAUGAAAAUGUGGUUGAGCUUAUGGAGCAAGGACUCGGACAGGCUAAUUUCGUUGGGUGCUUAGCCAAUUUGUUUAAGGAUAUUGUCAUGGCUAUUGUAGAAAACGAUGAGAUCUUGAGGGGUCUUUGUGGAGAAGACGGUGUUGUUUAUGCGAUUUGUGAAUUGCAAGAGGAAUGUGAUUCUAGAGGUUCGUUGAUCUUGAAGAAGUACAUGGAGUUUAGAAAGUUAGCUAGAUUGGCGUCUGAUAUUAACAAUUCUCCGAAUCUGAAUCUUCUUGCUGGUGGUGCUUCUGAAGGACCAGACCCGAGAGAAGUUGAGCUGUAUGUGGAAGAGAUACUGUCACUGAUGCAGAUUGGUGAGGAUUAUACCGAGUUCGUGGUGUCAAAAAUCAAGUCUUUGACGUCGGUAGAUCCUGAAUUGUUGCCAAGGGCUACAAAAGCAUUUAGAAAUGGAAGUUUUUGCAAAGUGAUUCAGGAUGUGACAGGAUUCUAUGUGAUACUAGAAGGGUUCUUUAUGGUUGAGAAUGUGAGGAAAGCUAUAAGGAUCGAUGAGCAUGUACCUGACAGCCUUACCACUUCAAUGGUGGACGAUGUGUUCUACGUGUUGCAGAGUUGUCUGAGGAGAGCGAUUUCAACUUCAAACAUCAGUUCUGUGAUUGCUGUGUUGAGCAAUGCUGGUAGCUUGUUGGGCAAUGAUUACCAUGAAGCUUUACAACAGAAGAUUAGAGAGCCAAACCUUGGUGCUAGGUUGUUCUUGGGUGGUAUCGGUGUGGAAAACACCGGAACUGAGAUUGCAACUGCUUUGAACAAUAUGGACGUGAGCUGCGAGUACAUUAUCAAACUAAAAAUUGAAAUCGAGGAGCAAUGUACUGAGGUUAGUUCUCAUACUUCUGAUACUUGGUGAUUUACUUAUCUAGGGUACUUAAGGAACAACAAUCGGGGAUCUAUUAGACUAGAAUUCUCUUGCUUACUCUUACCUGACUCUAUAUGGAUCUAUCUCUCACUUUCUUUGGGUUAAAGUGUUAACAUAGAUAGCGAUAGCUUCAUUUUUUGCUAGAGGUAAUGCAGGCUCUGUUCAUCUCAUGAAAAUCAUGUAUAUUGGCAUUUGAGGAGCGAAACCUAUUCUCUAUAUGUUGAUUUGCAUUCUUGAAUCCUAGACUCCUGGACAUAUCUGUCUCACUUUCUUUAUCAUGUGUCGUAAUCACAGGUGUUUCCUGCACCAGCAGAUCGAGAGAGGAUAAAAUCAUGUUUAUCCGAGUUAGGUGAGUUAAGCAACACGUUCAAGCAAUUACUCAACUCAGGCAUGGAACAGCUAGUGGCAACCGUAACACCAAGAAUCCGUCCGGUUCUAGACACUGUAGCUACCAUAAGCUACGAGUUAACAGAAACUGAGUACGCAGAGAACGAGGUGAAUGACCCGUGGGUCCAAAGACUUCUCCACUCGGUCGAAACAAAUGCCGCGUGGCUCCAACCACUCAUGACAUCCAACAACUACGACUCGUUUCUGCAUCUCAUAAUCGAUUUCAUAGUUAAAAGACUCGAAGUCAUAAUGAUGCAGAAACGGUUUAGCCAGCUUGGCGGGCUUCAGCUUGACCGGGACACAAGGGCUUUGGUUAGCCAUUUCUCGGGAAUGACUCAAAGAACAGUGAGAGAUAAGUUUGCUCGGUUAACUCAAAUGGCGACGAUACUGAACUUGGAAAAGGUCUCAGAGAUUUUGGACUUUUGGGGAGAGAACUCAGGACCCAUGACUUGGAGACUCACACCAGCUGAGGUUAGACGGGUUUUGGGUCUCCGAGUCGAGUUUAAACCCGAAUCAAUUUCUGCUCUCAAGUUGUGAUGUUACUUCUUUGUUUAUUAUGUCAUCUACAAUUACUUAAAUCCAAUUUUUUCAUAAUCUGAUUGGUGAAUGAAAACUUAAUUAAUACCAAACGAACCUAAAAACUCCAUCUGCGUUUAUGUCAUUUACCCUGUUAAAAGUAUUUAAUCAGUAAAAAACAGUAACAAAUAUGACGUGGUUAAUUUCUUAAGAAAAACUCGAUUUUUUUCCCUCUUUCGACUCAGUUCAUGUUUUGGAUUAAAUGUAGUAAUUUGAAAAGAAAAAAAAUUAAAACAGGAAAUGUUUAAAGUAUGUAGAAUUCUCUUUUCCAUUUUAGUUUCAGAUAAGUUUAGAAUUUAGUUCGACUGUACGAACGUGAAUAUAUGCCCAAAAAGAUGUGAUGUAGCGUGUAAUCCACGUUGGAUGCUUUUGUUCGAUUCGAUAAAUGUUGGGUCCAAAACUGAGACAUAAGCAAAACAUGGGAUCCCAAUAAAUAAUUAUAAACUCUUGUCCUGUACAAUGUCUGUCUAUAAAUAGACUUACAUCUUCAAACAUGAGAUAUGUACAAGUCUCCCCCCACUUAAAAAGAUUUAGUUUAAUAUCGUUUGCAGUUUCUUACAAUGUCUCGACCAAUCCCUAUUGAAGGUAAAAAACAAAAAAAAAAAACAUAACUUUGUUGUGUCUGAUCUUUUUAUCAUUAUCAGUUCCAAUUUAUAAGAAUAAUUUUCUCUUCUUGACAGAAAUGGUGAGACUGUUUAAAUCGCGUCACACAACAUCUCACUCGUUCAAGAUAGACAACUUCUCUUUACUCAAAAAGUAUGGAAUCGAAAAGGUCGAAUCCUCUGUUUUCGAUCUCGCUGGUUAGGCCUGGGAAAAAAAACCGCUAACCAAAUAAUCGACCGAACCGAAUCGAAAAAAACUGAACCAUAUCCGAACUGAAGUUUUUAAAAUAACCGAAUGGUUUGUAAAAUCUCCUAUCCAAACUAACCGAAACCGAACCGAACCGAACCGAUAACCAAACGGUUAACCGAAAUAUCCAAAAACCUAUAAGAUACCCAAAAAUAAUAUCCAAAACUAUAAUUAUAACCUCAAAAAAUUAAUUAUUUUUAUAAUCAAAACAAUCAAAUACUUUAAAUAAUCAAAAUAUUCAAAUAUUGUUUGUUAUAUUUAUCAAAGUUAAAUACUCUUUUACAAAAUUGAAUCAAAUUUUAAUUUUUUUCUAAUAUUUUAAUUUUUUUGCAUUUUCUUUUUGUAUUUUUUUGGUUAAUUUUGGUUAGUUUCGGUUAUAUUCGGUAAAUUUCGGUUAAUUUGGGUAAAAACCCGAACCAAACCGAACGUGAUAAAAGUUUGAUUAGUUACGGUUACCUAUUUAAAUAUCCAAACCGAACCGAACCGAAAGGUAACCGAACCGAACCGAACCGAAAUUCUUAAAAUAUCCGAAUGGUUAUUAUAUUACCAUAUCCAAACUAACCGAAACCGAACGUAACCGAACCGAAACCGAAUGGUCAACCGAAUGCCCAUGCCUAUCGCUGGUCACAAAUGGUGAUUAAUCUUUUUGAUCUUCUUAUUAUGCUUAUUGACAUACAACAGAAAAAAAGCAAAAAAAAACAGUUAUGACUAACCUCCAUAUGACUUUGGACUUUGGUAUGAUAAUAGGACACUCUCUGUCUACCCAAAUGGGCAUAAAAGUGCUAAGGGGACUCAUGUCUCCAUCUUCUUAAUGAAUCAAGUUUCAGUUAAUGUUUUGCUUACAUAUAAGCUCUUUGUCGUCAGUCAACUAGAGCGAAAAUGGCACAGCAAGAGUCUCUAUCUCUCUCUCUCUCACUCAUAUAUCUGUGUGUAUAUAGGUUUGAUAUGGCGUCCAUGUUGAUGUGUUAUAUGUGCAGGCAAAGACCAAUUUGAUACAAAUCCAGAACCGAGUACUGAGGGGUUUUAUGAGUUCAUAACUCUUGCUGAUCUUAAGAGAAACGGUUACCUUAUUGGUGUCAAGUUUUAUGAGAUUGAACCUGCUAAUCCCGGGACUGCAGAAUGUUUUAGCUUAAUUGAGAAGCCUCUUAAUCACAAAGUUACCUGGAUGAUGAGCAAGUUCUCGUCCUUUAACCCUGGAAAGGUCCAUCAGUCUAAUGAAUUUGUCGUUGGAACCAGGAAAUGGUAAAUAUAUAUAUUGAUUCCAACGACUUAUUAUUCCCGAUUAGAAAAACCUUAUACUAAUGAAAAUGCAUCACAAUAUAUUUGAUCAGGAGAAUUGAAGUUCAUCCAAGAGGGUAUAAUGAGGAAAAAGACAAAUCAUUUUCUGUGUAUCUAUCCGCAGAAGGGUUUGUCAAGAAUGCACCAAACACAAAAACUUACGCGAGGUUCAAGCUGCGGGUAUUGGAUCAAGUUAGCUGGAAUCAUGCUGAGAGAGCAGGUUUAUAUGAUCCAUCUUUAUUAGGAGGAAUAUGUUUUGGAAUUUAAGUCUUGUGAUGGUAAAAUAAUAGUAAUCUUUCAUUUUUGUAGGUACGGAGUGGUUUGAUGCAGAACCUGAGCAAAGUGGCUUCGCGGAUUUCAUGCCUUUGGGGAAACUAGAUGAACCUUAUUUGGUGAAGGAUAAGCUUUAUGUGGGAGUUGAGUUUGAAGUUAUUUCUACCACUAAUUACUGUUAGCUUCUUGGCUUUAAUAAGCCUUAUUGUGAGCUAAAUAUAGCAAGAAAUGUUAUAAUGUAUUGAAUAAAAUGCUGGAGAAUGUACCUACUGAUGCAGUAAUGACUUGGAGGUGGGACUACAUCGACCGAGUCUUAGCCAAAGUCAUAUUUCUCUUUUUGUCAUUUGUAUAACUAAAUAAUAAAAAGGAAGAAACAGUUUGCUUCCAAGUUUUUAGGAACCGUGAGGUUCUUUCACUUUUUGUCAUCAAAGUCACACUUGCAAUUAGUAAAAACCUCUGUCUUGAGGGUAAACUGCAAAUGGCAAUCAACCAAAUCCAAGCUAAGACUAAGAGGAUGAAAUUGUUGUCACAUCAUCUCUUCUAUGGAUCAAACAGAUAAGAAGAAGAAACAAACAAUUCCUUGUCAUUGUCAAGUAUGCAUCAGAUUAAAGAAAAAAAAAAGACCUUUAUUCUAAUUCCAUGUUGGACCUGGAGAUCUGAUUCACACACUUUCUGUUUAUUAGGAAUCUUAAAUUUGGGAUAAGAUUCCUGAUGCACAGAAAGUGGUUUUCUAAUUUCUAGUGGUUACUUUCAGAUUAAUCGAAUUAUCAUCGAAUCAAUUUUAUGGUAUUUUCUUUCGGCUAAAAAGUUAAGAAAUUCAAAUUCACAUUUUUUUCGCAAAACACAGCUCAAAGGUUGUUCCUUUUUUUCAAUUUCUUAGGAUGUUAUUCAAAUUACAGACAUUAUCAAACUUAUCAGAGAUUUGAUAACAAAAGCAUAGCAAAGCAAGCGUUUUGAUGAGUUUCCAUUUUAGGAUAUUUAUCUCUGUCACACUGAGUCUUGAGGAUUGAACUUGACUGUUUCACGGUAUAUAAGCUCCUUAAUGUUCUCUUCUGUCAAAGUAGGUUGCUCGAAAUCGAAAUUGAACGGCCUCACACAUACCGGUUCUUCGUUUAUAUCAUGCAGCGGUGCCAAAUAUGGGUGGCAUAACGCCUCAUCAACUAGACACACAAAAAAAUUGUUCAGAUAAUAGCCGAAAAACAGAGAAGAAGCAGAUAUAUAAAAUAUAACUCACCUGUGAUGCGUCUGCUUGGAUCAAAAACAAGCAUUUUCUCCAGCAAAUCGACUGCACCAGCCGACAUGUUUGGGAAUCUAGCAGCAAAGUUCUGUCUCGGGUACUGCGGAAGCUGUCUAACGUAUCUUCUUGCAUUGUCACUUCUUAAGAAUCCCAAGCUUGAGUCAUCAGGCGAUCCUAUAAGCUGCUUUUCAAAGAUUCAUCAAUAAAUGCAGAUGAUACCGUGAAGAAACACAAAGUGGCGAUUCUUUGGAUGAAACUAGAUUACCUCAGUGAUGAGUCUAAGCUGAUGAACAUAAUCUUUACCGGGAAACAACGGCUCUCGUGUCAUUGUUUCACCGAGUAUACAACCGACAGACCAAAUAUCGAUUGCUGCUGUGUAUUCUGAGCAAUUAAGGAGCAGCUCUGGGGCUCGAUACCAACGUGUAACAACAUAUUCAGUCAUGAAGUCUGUCUCGGAUUUGGUCCUCGCAAGCCCGAAGUCCCCAAGCUUUAGAUCACAAUUUGCAUUCAGGAGCAAAUUGCUGGGUUUCAAAUCUCGGUGCAAUACAUUAGCUGAAUGAACGUAUUUGAGCCCUCGCAACAACUGAUACAGAAAAAACUGCAAAACAAAAUCGAGACCAAUUACUAAACACAACAAGCCCAACUUCAAAGAGAACAAGCAUAACAAUGGCUCACACUUAUAAGUAUCAAGCGAUACUAAAUCUAACUGUUGUUUUGAUCAACCAUAAUUCAUUAGAUGCCCUAACACAAUAACAGCUGCUCUAGCUGCCUGAACCCAAGUAACUUGUAAAGUAGAAAGAGAAGAUUCAUCCGCUAGAUACAUACCCGACAAUGAUCAUCAGUCAACGGUUGGUUAGAGCGUAUAAUUUGGUGGAGAUCAGUGUCCAUAAGCUCAUAAACAAUGUAAACAUCAUUGAAGUUCUCUCUCUGCGGUGGUUUUAUUAUAUCCUUGACAGCAAUCACCUGCACAAAUAAACCAAUAUAAGUAAGAUUCACAAAACAAAUCCAGAGAUGAGAUUAGAGUCACGUACAUUUUCAUGAUCCAUAUGCUUGAGAAGCUUAAUCUCUCUCAAAGUUCUUUUAGCAUCGAUAAUAUUGUCAAAAGCAUUACCGAUCUUCUUGAUAGCUACUUCCUCUCCAGUCUCUGAGUUUGUAGCAGCACUGAUCAACAAAUAUGAACACAAGUUAAAAGAAACAGAUCCGAAAAUUGAAUUCCAAGAACAAUCAAUCCCUAACAAAGUAAAUCGAGAAUCGCUCGAAUUAGAAGUUUCUAAGCACAAAUCUGGAGAAAAACUGACCAGACAAUACCAUAAGCGCCUCUACCGAUGGGACGAAGAGGAGGAACAUACUUUCUAGAAACUUCGAAGAGAUUGCCAUAGACAUUAUACUGAACAUAGCUACCACCAUGAGUAGGCAAUCCUUUGCUGCUUUGAUCACCUGAACUUCCGAAACAAGUUUCCGCCGACAUCGAUAAAAUGAAGAACCCUAGAUACACGCACAGAGAAGAAAUUGAGGAGGAAUUGAGAAGAUGGGUGUUGACAUUUCGUUAUAAAGUCUCCACCUUUUUUAUUUUUAUUGCCAAAGGGGAUGUCUCCUCUCGGGUCACCCGUGAACCUUAAACCGGGUUUUUUUUCUUCUUUGUAAUCUGAUGAUUGUGUCUCUAAGUAAUUGAUGAAUUUUGUAUAAUGGAACAAGUUAAUGACUUCAUGUGGGAAUGUUUCUGAUAUCAUAGAAUAAUGUUACAAGAAUUUUAUUGACAACUUUUCUCCAAUAAGAAUUUGAGUAUGACUUGGUAUAUUGGUGGUGUACAAGUCAAUGGGCGGCCAAAUUGUAUUUGACCAUAAAACUGACCUUUGAUUCCAAAUUCAUUAAUGGAAAAAUGUAUAUGUAAAACAACUUAUAUAACUAAAAGUUUGGUGCAUUUGUUAUUUAUUAUCAAUAGCUUGAAUAUCUAUCUGGUUUGCUUUGACUGAUAAUGUAACCAUGAAAAUGACACUGAUUUUUUUUUUGUCUAGUGAUUUACAAUGGGCCUCAAGCAAACCCAUCACUUAUCUAUUAUGCGUGUGAUCAUUACCAACUAAGAUGGACUGAAGCCGAUUUAGGCAGUCCACAAGAGCACAGUUUUUGACUAACUUGAAAAUGUAGUUAUUAGCUUAGUAACUUCUAAAAUAUGCUCACUGAUCAACACUUAAAAGUACUUUUUAAGUAUUUUGUUUCGUUUUAAAAUCUCAUUUUUUUAUCUGCAUUUGUACUUAACAUCAACGAAAGCACUACCAUAAUAAUUACAUGUUUCCUCUAUUCACAAACAAAUCAUAACACUUUUAACCAUCGGUGGCAAUGCCACUCCCAGCUCUUUAGCGUAUUUCGUCCAGAGGCUCUCGAACAAUGCGUCUCGGGCAGAGAUCACCAUCUUCGACAAGCAACGUGUUUCCUUGGAGACAAGCUCAAACCUUUCCGAAAGUUCUAUCACUGACUUCUUUAAUGGCUCCACCAACAAAAUAGGAACUGACCCUUCUUGUACCUCUGAGUAAAGCUUCUUCACACCGGUUUCAACAGCCUCGAGAUCUUUUAUAACCGUGAAUUUGUCUGAUAAGAAUGUGUUUUUGAUCACUGGGUUAAUCAUGUUCUGCAAUUCCAUGAAAGCUUGUGCCCAUGGAAGUUCCUCCACCUCCUUUGGAAUGUUUAGAUAGAAGAGAUUCUUGGAAGAACCCGAGAACGCUGCAGCAAACACGCUGAAUAUGUAUAAAGUCUUGACCUUUACAGCGUAUAGAGCUCGCAAGAGGACUUUUCCUUCCGCAGAGUGUUUCUUCUUCGCCUUCUUGGAGAGAUGAUGAUGAUCCAUCGAUUCAACAAGCCUACUCAAAACCGCGCCACAGUUUUCGAUUCUCCGGUUCUUGGAAACCAUGUGCUGAUUCCAACUGUCAAGAUGCGAUAACGAAAAUUCCUCUGAACAGUUGUUUGUCUCCAGCUUACUAAAAGCAAACUUGAGUAAUAGAUUGCCAUGGUUCAGACGAUCUAUCUCAGAGAUGAAGGCGUUGCAGAGUUCAAGGAGGUUCAAGCUAAUGUCAGAGUAGAUAUAAAUCAAAUUUUCCUCCAAGUCCGAUACUGGAAGCUCUAAAUCCGUCACGAGCGUCCUGAUACUCUUGUGUGUCUCACAAAGAGACUCCAUAGCUUGUAUCAUCCAAGAAACACUAAUGAUAUCAUUCUUAUCCUUCGGUAUAAGUUCUCUAAUCGAUACCAUCAAGUUAGUCUCGAAAUUGUUCAACAGUGAGAGAAGCUUUGGCGAUAAUCGAGCGUUGUUGUUCUUCGUAAACAAAAUCUUGAACGGGUUUCGACAGUGGAAGAACCUGUGUGGAGGAUCUUGUGUACAUUGUUGGCUCAUAUCAACUGAAAACACAAAAAAAAAGGAAGAAACAAAGUUAGUAAUCUGAAACAAUGAGCAAACUAAUAACAUUGUUCUGAAUCAAAAAUCCGAAUCAAUAGACCUCAAGAUUUCAAAAAAAAACAAAAACAAAAAAAAAGAGACAUUAUUUAAGUAAACAGAACAAAACCCAGGUCACAAAAUCCGAAUUCUGGAGAUUUCACACCCAAAUUGGCAUAAAAAGUAAACCAAAUUCGCCGACGAUUAACAUCACCAACGAAAACUGACCUAAAGAGAGAGAUUCUUCGGGAAUGUUACCGCUUACUUUAAUGUUACGCUACUUCAAUGAAGGAGAGACAAAAACCUAAUCUAACUUUGCAGAGAAAAGAAACCAAAAGAGCGUAUAAAUAGGAGAUGGGUUUAGUGUUCUUACCUACCGAGUAGGCGAGUAUAUAAUAAUAAAAUUUGGGAUUCGAAAUGUCAAGGAAACGCAAAAGACUUGAAACGCGUUCUUAUAGGGAGGAGGAAUCAAAGAAACUUGCCGUGUUCUGCAGAUCAACGCUAUCGCAACUUUAAGUCCCGCGUUGGUUUUGCUAGUUGUAAAGGACCUUCUUCUGUUUCAGCUACGCGGCUGUGGCGAAGAAUAGAGACAUAUAUACACGUGUACGGUUGUGAUGUCUCAGUUAUUAGUUAGAUGUUUCACUCAAUCGUUGACAUUUGUCAGUAUAGUCGCCGGCUAUUUCUCAAUCCAAGGGGCUAGAAAGUUCCGGAAAACAAUUGUUUAUUCGGAGGGGUAUAUUUGUCAAUUCUCACGUUGCUCCAAACCCAUCUCACUGGGCCGCGUUGGGCUUUUUUUUUUUAGGCCGAAAACAACUAGAAGAGGGUUGAUAUUAUAAUAUAGACGCUUAUCUGAAAUGUCAUUUUUUGUUAAUUAAUCGCUGCAACUAAUGUUUCUUAGCACCCAAGUAGACGAAUCUCUCGAAGCCUCCAGUGAAUCUGAUUAUAUCUUUAUAUAUAACAUAGGUUAACCUAUGAAAUCAAAAGCAGCUGCAAAUCAGAAAGUUCCAAAACAUCCAAAUCUGGAGGAAAAGACUUGAUCACUAAGCUCUACUCAUCCAAAUGUGUCUUUGUAUCUUAAAAAGGGAUAGAAAGUGGAGUUAGAUGCAAAACAUGAUCUAUCUUUUUCUCGAUCCAAGCCAAUCUUCUCUCAAAGCUCAACACACUUCUAUGCAUAUUCCUUGCAUCAAUCUCAGCGACCAUAGCACAAACCCGUAAAAGAAUGUAGUAAUCAGCAUGAGCCGCGUAUAUCAAUGCUCCAUCAUCAUUUUUCCUCACAUAUUGAAGAUAGUCUAGUCUCUUUACCUUCACUCGAGGCGGUAUGUAUUGGAACAAAUUGUCCCUCAUGUCUGUUAUUAGUCUUCUUAUCACUUUCUCCUUGGAUUUCUCUUCGUGAUUAUGCUUAUCUGGUGAUGAAACACUUUCCAAAGAUGGCUCAUCACAAUCCGUUGACCCGGUUUCGCUUUUUCUUGAACGACUGCUACAAGGGUUGUUUCUGUCCCUCAACUGGCCGACGUUCAUGGACAGUUGGUUAAGUGAUAAAUCAUUGUCUUCCCAGUCUCUUGGAUGGAAUCCCAAACCGUUCAAAUUCCUGCCAAAUGCGAUUUACAAAGAGAUGGUUUAUAAUCAAGAACAUCAUAAAUUACAGUGUCGAAGAUUUUUCAAAAAAAUCGAGUAAAUUUCACAUCAUAUUCCAUAGUAGAAUUUAAAACAACAUAGAAAGAUAAACAUGCCUCACCUGGUCUUUCGGGUAACUAUUCCACAGAUUAUCAACAGUUCUGUAUGUGUCAUCAGCUGAUGCUUCUUCUAAGCCAGCAAAGAUCUCGUUUUUCCCAUGCAAUAAAUAUGACAAAAGAUCCUUUUCAUGUUCUGCAAAAGAAAAGGGCAUUCAGGAAGGUUAGGAUCUAGAGAGAUGAACAUAUCAUCACAGGGAAUAAAGGAAUUUACCAACGGUUUCAGCAGCGACCUCGUGAUAUUUCGUUUCAAGGUUUUUCAAAAGCUCCUCAGUUGCUUUGGUGACAUCCUCCUCACUAGCAUCAAGCAAACCCAAGCUUUGUUCCCAUACACCAAAACCAUUGAUAUUAUAAAGCAUCCGAAUAGCUACGAUAAUAAUAGACAUGACAUAGACACGAGUGGGAAGCCUGAGCUCGUUCUUUGAUAGAUACAAAUCGGAAGGCAUUGACCAGUUGUGUAAGAGACGGACCAGAUCAAGAACCUUCUCCUUGGGAAUAGACAACCGCUCUAGAUAGUUUGAAGCUAUAGCAUAGAAAUUCACAGGAGGCAAAGGCAAACCGAUGAUAUCAGCAAUGGAAGCAACUUGAGCUUCUAAUCUCUGAGCAGAAACAAUCUGACUAGGCUUAAACAUCACGCUUACAGACACAGGACACGCAGCUGAUCUGUCUCCCAUUUGCUCUCGAAUCUUGAGAAAAGAAGAAAGAUACGGAAACUUUCCUUGUCGUGCCCAUCUAACUAUAUCCGUGGGUGUUCCAGCUUUGUGACAAGCAAGGAAAGAUAAAGCCAAAGAAGACGAUAAAGGCAGAGACUUUUUAAGCUGACUUAACCAUAUCGUUACUGCUCUUUUACCAUAUAAGUUUUGAGGUUCUUCGGAGGCUUUACCACGCUUAACCUCUGGCUCUCUUACUUCUCCUGAAAAAAACUCAAAACAUCAAUGACUGGAAAAAAAAAAAAAAAAAAAAGAGAAAAUGUGAAGCAAUUAGAGAAGAGGCAAAGCAACCCUCUGAUUGGAGCUCGGAUUCAAGAAUCGCCUUAUCAGCCCAAUCAUCAUCGACCAAACCAAUAAUCAAUGGCGUCACAUUGAAUUUCUCAACCAACGCAUCGCACUGAUAAGUUAUCAUCAUCAGUAAACCUUUGACGUAUCUAUCUCUGGUCUCCUUGUAAUAAUCCUCGUAACUCAAUUUGACAGGCUCUGGGUUUGGUGCUGGUUCAGGGCGAGUGUCUUGUUUUCGAUAAGUUCCGCCACCGCCGGCUCCGCCCAAAUCUUCGCCGUCGACGCCUGUUUGGAUAAUACCGUCCGCCUGAGUAGAGCAUUGUAGGCAGUAAAAAAAACCAUCUCCUCCAUCUUCAAAGCUGUCGCUCUCGCAAAUAUGGCAAAUCAUCGUCGUUGAUGAAGAAUGACAAGAUUGCGUCAACGAAACACUCUUCGGGCGUUCAGGACUCUUAAGAAGAAUAAAUGGGCCGUAGGCCCGCCCCUUCUUCACGCCUACUUUAUUAUAUAAAGUUGUAGGGAAUCCGAAAAUUUAGGCUAUCAAAUUUAAUUAUUAAGUAAUUAGACAGAAUAACUCAUUAGGAAAAGUCAUAUGCUGCGAUUUGUAUUCUCUAAAUGUUCGAAUUACUGAAGACUAGAGAUUUAGGCCAUGAAUAUUUACUAGUUUUUAAGUGGUUUUUUGGUUUUUAAAAUUUUGGUUUUUGGUUUUUUGUUAUAAAUAUAAAAAUUAAUUAAAAAAUCAAAAAAUCAAAAAAAAAAACAUAAUCACGUUGAAAAAUAAAAUUUUCCACAAAAUCAUGAUACUCUUUGAAACUUGGAAAAACCACUCAAAAACUAGUUUUUCUAAAUUUUAUGAAAUCUAGUUUUUUUAAAUCUUGAAUGGUGAAAAAAUAGAUUUUUUCAUAAACAAAAACCAAAAGUUACUUAAAAACUACUCCCUCUGUUCCACAAAAUUUGAUGUUGUGGGUUUCUUUUUUGUUCCACAAAGAUUGAUGUUUUGUAUCAAUUUUAUUAUUAUUUUUAUGUGUGGCCAAUAGAGAGAGAGGAGAGAAAUAGAAUUAAUAUUAUUAAACAAACAAAAUAGUAAUUAAAAAGUAUAAAAUUUAUAUUUUCUUAAUUUGUGUGCAAAAUACACAACAUCAAACUUCAUAGAACAGAGGGAAUAGUAAUCAUUCAAGGCCUUAUUUUGAGAAGCCUAUUUACAAUGCUUCCAUAUAAAAUAAACAUACUACAGUAAAACCUCUAUAAAUUAAUACUCUAUAAAUUAAUAACCUCGUUAAAUUAAUAAAUUCUUCCGGUCCCGAGUAAGUACCAGUGUAAAAUAUGACAUAAAUCGAUAAAUUAAUAAAAUAAUAAUUUUUUUGAAAAUCUCAUGUAAACAUAUGGUCCCAUCUAUAUCAUAAAUUAAUAAUUGUAUUAACUUAUCAAUAUAUAUAUAUACAUUAUAUAAAUUUAUAUAUGUUAUAUAUGAAUUACUAUGAUAUAUAUUUAAAAUAUUAUAUGUAAAAAAUUUGAUGAAAUAUGACUCUAUUAUUCGAAAAAAGUUUGUGUUGUUUUUUAAACUUAAUAAUUGUUUCUCUACUUGUAAUUAGUUUUUAAAAGAUAUUGUUAAUAAAGAAAAAUUUUAUAUUUAGAUAGAAUUUUUUUUAAGAAAUUACAAAAUUAGCAAAAUCUCUCUAUAAAUUAAUAAUUAUUAAUUUAUCGAUAAAUUAAUACCUCUCUAAAUUAAUAAAAUUUCAUAGUCCCAACAUUAUUAAUUUAUAGAGGUUUUACUGUAGUUCGAAAAAUGAAAAUAGAACGCAUUUACUUUAGUUGUUACAUACAUACUUUAGCAUUAGGUAUAGACGUGUAUAGUUAUUUAUUAAUCUAAUUGAGAUAGGUCUAUUGUAUCUUACUAGGAUCGGACAUAUAUAUUGGUUUACAUGUAAUGUUGUGAUGUUGAUUUUAAUAUUGUGCAUAUUUUUAGUAGAGCGAAUCGUGUAGUGUACUUAUAAAUAUUUAUAAUAGCGAAUUGUUGAAAAAAUAUUAAAUUGUUUAUAAUUAAAACCCAUCAUAUUAAUUAUGAUUUAGCCGCAAAAUGGAAAUUUAUGUUUACGAAUUUUAAAAUUAGACAAUUCAUAGAACUAGAGCCGUCAAAAUAGGUCAAAAAGUGGUCUCAUGGAUUGAUCUGCAGUGGGUCAUAGGUUUAAAGAAUUCUUAAUAAAUGAAAUUAAUAUUUAUAAAAUUAAUGAUAUAUAAGAUUAUUUUCUCUUCAUUUGUUGUAGUAGUAUUUUUAAUUUUUAUUAAAUAUAAAACUAUUUGAACUUAAGAUUUAUAUUCGUGAUCAAGAACAACAUGGGUUUUGUUGGACGUAUGCUUUAUUUGAUUCGAUUAGUGCUUCAAAAGUACUAAAAGGCUUGGAAAUGGAAUUUACACAUUUGUGUACACAUUACUUGUGCGAACGUGUUUGUUCAGUUGAGUUAAGAAGAACUCUUGUACCUGAAGAUAAAGGGCAUCGUUGCUAUGAUCGUAAAAUUUUACUUGUAACAUUGUACGUUUAAACGCACAGAAUACCGAUAAAAAUACAUGACCACAAAGAAUUGUAACACAUAGAAGACUUAUUUCAUUACUACACAUUGGAGCAAACACUAGUCCAUUUGAGAACAUGUCUGGUUUCUGCAUCUAUGAUAACUUUCCAAGGUUGGGAUAAGCGUGAGAUUUACCGUGUUCCUUGAAGAAAUGGGCUAAAUGUGAAGGUCUGCAUGCGGUAGUUAUUGUUACGUUGAUUGUAUAAAAAUAGAUGGGGAAAUAGGUGAUAGGUACAUGUAUAUAUCUCUUGAAGUAUUUUUCAUCAAGACUGGUUUGACCCGAAAAGCUAAGAAAAACACAUUCUCUUAUAUUGAACCUAGUGUUGUGCCUACAGAUUUAAAGGACUAAGGUAACAUUUAAGAAUGUGACAGUUUAGAUUAACAAAUAAGGGGUUAAAUAUACUUAAACUUAAAAUUUGAAAAAAAAAAAGCAUUGAAAAUAGAAAAAAAUCUCUAAUAAAUGAAUAAUUAAGUAUUAGUAUUGUACGAAUAAAACUUUGAAAUAUUGACCAUUAAAAGAAGGAUUUGAGUAGUUAGACUAAGAUAAUUUCCAUCAAACAUGGUCUAUAAUUUACUAUAUUUAGUAUGGCCUCAGGCAUUUGCCCUUUUUCACCCAUUGUUUCUCCAAAAGACUAGUUGCAGAUGGCUGAUUAUGGUAUAACGUGUGGAAGUCGAAACUAACACAAUCGAGAUUUGUCUAGGGUUUUAUUUUAGGGAUACGAUAUGCAAGAAUUCUCAAGAACAACAGAAAGAAUUGUAACCAAAUAUGGUGUUCUUGAUAUUAUUGAUGAAAAGAAUAGCUUUGAUCGUACAAGGAGUUAGAUCGUAAAAAGAAAAGUGAUUUUGCUUCAGAGCUUUGUGUAGUCUAAGUCUAGAGCGUUAUUGCUUGUGUUCUGUGAGAGCUUUGAGUCUCUUUAUAUAGGGAUGGUAAACCGCCCCUCCAGCAAUAUUCUCGGAAGAUUUCCAUUUAUCUUAAAGUCGGCUUAGAAUAUCGCGGAUUAGGAUACUUUCCUUAUUCUUCGGAGUUUCCGGAAGUUUUCCUGAUUUGAGUUGAUCCUUCGAGAUUACCAUUUUCGAGUAUUUCGGAAAUAAUCCUUCUUUUUCGGAAAUGAUGCAAUCCUGCUCGGAAAUGAUACUAUAAAGGUGACUAUUUACCAAGUCCUUGCCUCGGGUGACUGAUGACUUCGCCUCGGGUUGCUUGGAGAUUGCCUGGUGUAUCCGGGUCGGGACAUGAUGACGAUGUGAUACAUUACCCGAGCCAAGGCAAUCUUGAGAUGACUGGCUCGGAUACCCCCGAGGUGACGGGCUCGGGUACCCCGAGGUGAUGGGUUUGGGUACCCCCGAGGUGAUGGGCUCGGGUACCCCGAGGUGAUGGGCUCGGGCACCCCGAGACAAUUGGGCUCGGGUACCCCGAGACGACUGGGCUCGGGUACCCCGAGGUGAUGGGCUCGGGUACCCCGAGGUGAUGGGCUCGGGUACCCCGAGGUGAUGGGCUCGGAUACCCCGAGGUGAUGGGCUCGGGUACCCAAGCCGAUUGGCAGGAUACCCGAGCAGAUUGGACGAGUACCCCGAGCUGGUUAAUUUGCAGGUCAACUCAAGGUGUUGAAGUCUGGCUCGGUACCAAAAGAUGGAUGAAAUCCGACCCCAACAUAACGUAAAAGAUUAAUGUUUUAAGACUAAUCAAUUUUAAUUUCUUGACAAUAUAUAUUUAGGUUAAAUUCCUUAUUUUACUGUAGUUUUAAAAUUUGAGGACUAUUAUUUGAUUAAUAAUAAUAGUUUAGAUACGUCCAUUUUGGACAACCAUAUUUUGAAAAUUAUGAUAACAAUAUUAGGAACAGGUAGUUUUUGUUUUUAACGUCUUCCAUAUAUUAAUAUAAAGAACAGUAAUAAAAGAAAGGUAAUAUUACUGAAUGGCCAAAUUAGACAAACAAAUUAAGUAAAUAGCAGAGAAAAAACUUUUUGUUGCAAACUAGCCAUGGUCCUACGUUGUCAGAAGAAGUGAAAUAACCAAACCAACUUUUGUUUGUUGCAAGUUCAACGCAAAACAAUUUCGUGAGAUUUUACAAAAUAGCAUGUAACAUUUAAAGUUCACAUGUUAUAUUGAACUGAAAAACAUGAUAUUUGAAAAAAUAUAGUGAUUUUUUAAGAAAAAACAUUGGCAUAGAAAAAUUUAACUUGAAUAGAAUCUUUUUUAAAAAAAAUUACAUGUGAUCUUAAAAAAUACGUGUAUUAUUACAAAAUAAUAAUCUUUUUUUAAAGAAAUCACAUGUGAUCUUUAAAAAAAACAUGUAUUACUACAAAAUAACAUGAUAAAGAGAGAUAUUAAACUAAAUAGAAUGUUUUUUUCAAGAAAUAUCAUGUGCUCUUUAUAAAUAACGUGCAAUACGAGAAAAUAACAUGAUAAAAUAGAUAUAUUAUGUUAUCACAUGUAAUUCGAGAAAAAAACGUGUUACAAAGGAUACUUACGUAAUUACACAUGCAUUCCGACAUGUUACAGACAAGUUACUGUAGCUCAUGGUUAGUUUGUAUAUUCUUUUUGAAUCCAUGGUUACUUUGUAUAUAUUCCCAUAAAAAAAAAGAAAAAAAAAAGAACAUGUAGUUAGUUUAGAAGCUAAAAAUACUAAAAUAAUAAUUCCAAGAUGUUGAAAAUAAUUUGGAUAUUAGGUUUGAUACGAGAAAUUCACGAUACAAUACUUACUAUUUGAUACAAAUUGAGAUGCUGUUAGGAAUUUUGUCCAUGGAUAGUAAAGUGUAUACUAAUGGUACUAUAUUUAAUUUUAUUUAUGAUUUACUUUUUCCUUCGAUUGUCUAAAUUUUGGAAAUACUAUGAGCUUCAACAAA